rnacentral:rRNA from 1 species
AACGUAGGACACAAGCGUUAUCCGGAAUUACUGGGCGUAAAGCGCGUGUAGGCGGGUGAUCAAGUCAGGUGUGAAAUCCCUGGGCUCAACCCAGGAACUGCACUUGAAACUGGUUGCCUUGAGUGUUGGAGAGGGAAGCGGAUUUCCUGGUGUAGAGGUGAAAUUCGUAGAUAUCAGGAGGAACACCGGUGGCGAAGGCGGCUUCCUGGACAAUUACUGACGCUGAGACGCGAAAGCGUGGGGAGCAAACAGG